rnacentral:sRNA from 1 species
GGAGUCUUGCCCGGCACCCAGGCUGGAGUGCAAUGGUGCGAUCUCAGCUCACUGCACCCUCCACCUCCUGAGUUCAAACGAUUCUUUUGCCUCAGCCUCCAAAGUAGCUGAGAUUAUAGGCGCCCUCCACCAGGCCCAGCUGAUUUUUUUGUAUUCUUCGUAGGAUGGGGUUUCCCCAUGUUGGUCAGGCUGUUCUUGAACUCCUGACCUCAUGAUCCACAUGCCUUGGCCUGCCAAAGUACUGGGAUUACAGGUGUGAGCCACCGUGCCCAGCCAUUAGCCAAUUCUUAUUUCUUAAGAUGCUGUGUAUUUUCUUUAUUUUAUUUCAUUUUUGAGACAGAGUCUCGCUCUGUCGCCCAGGCUGGAGUGCAGUGGCGCGAUCUGGGCUCACUGCAAUCUCCAUCUUCCAGUAGAGACGGGGUUUCACUGUGUUAGCCAGGAUGGUCUCAAUCUCCUGACCUCGUGAUCCGUCUGACUCGGCCUCCCAAAGUGGUGGGAUUACAGGCUUGAGCCAAUGCGCCUGGCCUAAUGCUGUG